CGGAGGAAAAGAAACCAACCGGGAUUGCCUUAGUAACGGCGAGUGAAGCGGCAAAAGCUCAAAUUUGAAAUCUGGUACCUUCGGUGCCCGAGUUGUAAUUUGGAGAGGGCAACUUUGGGGCCGUUCCUCGUCUAUGUUCCUUGGAACAGGACGUCAUAGAGGGUGAGAAUCCCGUGUGGCGAGGAGUGCGGUUCUUUGUAAAGUGCCUUCGAAGAGUCGAGUUGUUUGGGAAUGCAGCUCUAAGUGGGUGGUAAAUUCCAUCUAAAGCUAAAUAUUGGCGAGAGACCGAUAGCGAACAAGUACAGUGAUGGAAAGAUGAAAAGAACUUUGAAAAGAGAGUGAAAAAGUACGUGAAAUUGUUGAAAGGGAAGGGCAUUUGAUCAGACAUGGUGUUUUGUGCCCUCUGCUCCUUGUGGGUAGGGGAAUCUCGCAUUUCACUGGGCCAGCAUCAGUUUUGGUGGCAGGAUAAAUCCAUAGGAAUGUAGCUUGCCUCGGUAAGUAUUAUAGCCUGUGGGAAUACUGCCAGCUGGGACUGAGGACUGCGACG
rnacentral:rRNA from 1 species